UUUUGCGUUUGAGACUGAAAUCGUUCGUUCCAAACAGUUUUAUGAGGUAAAGCGAAUGAUUAGACGUCUCGGGGCGAAAUAGUUUUAGCGUAUUCUCAAACUUUAAAUAUGUAAGAAGCUUUCCGUUUUGAAUUAAAGGUAGGCAUGAAUGUAGAGCUUUUAGUGGGUCAUUUUUGGUAAGCAGAACUGGCGAUGCGAGAUGAACCGAACGUAAAGUUAAAGUGCCAGAAUACACGCUCAUCAGACACCACAAAAGGUGUUAGUUCAUCUAGACAGCCGGACGAUGGCCAUGGAAGUCGGAAUCCGCUAAGGAGUGUGUAACAACUCACCGGCCGAAUGAACUAGCCCUGAAAAUGGAUGGCGCUUAAGCGUGUUACUUAUACUUCGCCCAAACAAUACAUUGUUGUUUGGAGUAGGCAGGCGUGGAGGUAGUGACGAAGCCUUGGAUGUGAAUCUGGGUCGAACUGCCUCUAGUG
rnacentral:ncRNA from 1 species